AUCGAUUACUCUAUCGAUCUUUCGGUUCCAACAGUCUAACUCGAGUUGAGCCUGAAAUAGAAGACCACAUUGGCAUUGAUUGCUACGUAGCGCUUCCGUACAUUCCGCAGCUGAGUGAAUCAAUCGCCAAAUGCCUGAAAAAAAGACUAUCCUCGUAUCAAAAUCGCCAAUCAGAACGCUAAGACUGCCAAGACUGUUUACACUAAAGUUAAAGAUCCAGUCGAAUCAAUGCUACAACACAAUGUGAUCUAUAACAUCCCCUGCCAGAACUGUGAUAGAUGUUAUAUAGGCAUGACGUCCAAUAAACUGAAAACCAGACUCAGUGGACACAAGUCGAAUAUAAACAAGCUCAACAGACUAUUGGAACAAGGAUACACAAACAAUGAUGAAGCAGUGGUUAAUAUUAGUAACAAAACAGCAUUGGUAGAUCACUGUAUAAAAUACAAACACCAAUUUGGAUUGGAUCAAACCAAGAUCAUCGAUCGUUCGCUUGCAGCAUCUCGUCUUCCAAUGCUAGAAUGCCUCCACAUCCAGAACACACCAUCAACAGUCAACUACAGGACCGACACAGAAGGAAUAAGUGCAAUAUACACCGGUUUACUCCAAACGAUAGCAACAAAAUCCAGAAGCAGAAUCAAAACAAACACCCCACCACCCUCAACGUCAACCCCUCCAAUAGCCCGGAUCAACCAACAACAAUCCACUACAAGCCCACAAUACCAGAGCCAACCAAUACCACCCAUGAAUAAUGAGCAAAACAGAAAUUCUCCCUCUCACCAUACACAGUAACAAUCUCUAUUAAUUAUACACAUACAUUAUUGUUCUCCAUUUAGUUUAGAUCUCUCUGUAUAUUAGUGUCCAUUUUUGUGUCAUAGUAGCUAGUCAGGUUUUUAGUUUUCGUAUGUUUCGUACGACUAUCCACCAACGCAACCGCGAAACCAAACCAAAUGCGGUACACCAGAUAGAGGUAGGCAAAAGCUUUGCACAACUAACUGUUAUACAUUUUAAAACUAGGUGUCCAGGAAAAGAACUUUAUUAAAACUGACAAUUCAGCGCAAAGCUUUUAGCAGCAUACGAGGGACGGUGCAAGUUUAUAUCCCCUGAGGAAGGCCGAGUCCAAUGGCCGAAACGUCGGAAUUAAACAAGUAGCACUUGUCUUGAUUUUACGCUAGACUGAAAAGCCACCCGAAAACAGUUCAUUCUACAGUCGAACCUAAUUCAAAGA